GUUAACUGACAUAAUAUGUCUUCGGCAUAUUGUGCCCUUACUGCUUAUUUACUCGGUUGUUAGGUGUGUUUUAACAUCCUAGUUUUAACUUGAUUUCACGAGGAUUGCCUGUGCUAUACUGUUCUUCAGAAUUCUCUUAUAUGUAAUCUAGUUAUUGGAUACUUACAAUGUAUGUAUCAAAAUCCAAUUUUAGAUGUUUAAUUCACUCUUGGAAGUUGGAAUGUUGUUGAAUUUUUUUUUUUAUUAUAUAAAAUGUUGUUGAGAAUUUUGUUGUCUAGUUUUGACUCUUCAUGAGCCGACACUUAGUGUAGACUCUUCUGAUCAUAAACCGGAUCUGUUAAUCGAAAUCACUACUCGUCUUGAGCUAGUUUCUUAAGUUUACCACACAAAUAAUUCAAAUUUUCUAGAAAAUGAAGCCUUUUCUGAAUUAACUAGUUUUAUACUGAUCCCAUUUACAUAAGGCAAAGAGCUUCUUUGCUUAUGACUUGUAGACAUCUGAAAUUCAAGACAACGUCUCAUAUGUUAUUCAAAGUGUUAGUUGCUUCUUUCUUUGGAUAAUGAAAGCAGUAUCAGAUGAUCAGAUAAGACUUUUUAAUUUAUUUUGCUUUGACUAACAUUUCUUUAAUUUAUCAUUGAAUCAUCUGAUUAUUUAAUCAUCUGAUUAUUUUUCUAAAGAUAGAAACCCAUCAAAUCUUGUAAAGGGGUUUUUAUCAGAGUUAAAUAGCCAUUCUAUUGACAAUCUUCUCUUACCUAAGCAAUAAUAUCUUUUGCUUGUGUUGGAGGGUCACACACCAAUAAACUCCCAACCAGAGGAAGAAAGUGACAUUCCAACAAGAAGUGAAUGCAUUAUGUUUUCCUUCUCUUUGUCCAUAAAUAGUUAGUAGUCUUUCUUUUUGUUAUUAAGGAGUUGGUUGUUUUAGCCAUUAAUAUCUCAUUUCCACAAUGUUUUUUCCACCUCAUAUUCUUACAUUUAAAGUAGCAAGAAUCUCAGAUUGAUUCGACAUAGAUUCCUUCUAUCAAGAGCCAGAGAGGCUUGACGCUAAGAGGACAUGAUCUUCUCUUCAUACUCUGAGUAUGAGAGCACCAUUAUCAAUGGUAUGAGGAAGGAGUUCUCAAAAAUGGAUUAGUUGACUAAUCCAUUUUUGAGAACUCCUUCCUCAUACUAUUGAUGGAGUUGCUCUGAUACUCUUUCCUUUUACCGUUAGCAAGCUCAGAGCAGCUUUAGCAAAAAACAUGAUCUUCAUGGUAGAUGAUGACACAUGCAACAACUGACUCUAACUGACCUUGAAACUUCCCCUCACAGUCUUUGUUGAUCUUCAUCAGAAACCAUACCGGCCCUAUCCGAUUCAGUUGAAUUGUUUGGUUUGGUGCCAAAGUGAAAAUAACUUUGGUAACCAAAUGAGUUCAAAAGAUUGAACUCUGUUUCACCAACUGUAAUGGAGAAGCUCAAGCCUUUCAACUCUUUUAUUUACUGACAACUGACAAAUCAUUACACUUCAAAUAAAAUAAUGUCCUUUUUUUUCUUUAUGCCAUUUGAUACAUAAUGCUAAAUGAACCUCUUCUGAUA